GUCCACGCCGUAAACGAUGAUAACUAGCUGUCCGGACACUUGGUGUCUGGGUGGCGCAGCUAACGCAUUAAGUUAUCCGCCUGGGGAGUACGGUCGCAAGAUUAAAACUCAAAGGAAUUGACGGGGGCCUGCACAAGCGGUGGAGCAUGUGGUUUAAUUCGAAGCAACGCGCAGAACCUUACCAGCCUUUGACAUCCCGCGCUAUCCUGAGAGAUCAGGGGUUCCCUUCGGGGACGCGGUGACAGGUGCUGCAUGGCUGUCGU
rnacentral:rRNA from 1 species